AUCCCAGCUACUCGGGAGGCUGAGGCAGGAGAAUCACUUGAACCCAGGAGGCAGAGGUUGCAGUGAGCCGAUAUCGCACCCCUGUACUCCAGCCUGAGCUACAAAGCAAGACUCCAUCUCAAAAAAAAUAAAGGAAAUAUGUGUCGUUGGAUGCUGUAUGAUAAUCAAGCUACUUACAACAAACAAAAUUGAGAAUGAAAGAUUAUGAUCCAAACCCAGCUGGCCCUCCCCUACCUGCCCCAGGAAUGUGGAGUGAGAACGUUGCAGCAAAGCACAGCAGGAGAACCGGAAAUGCUCACUCUUUGACAGGGUACUUUUAGUUCUGGGGCCUUAUCUUAAGGAUAUUCCAACAUAUACAAAAAGUUUCAUGCACAGAGAUAUUUACUUUAGCAUUAUUUACCAUAGGAAAAAAGUUGGAAACAAUACAUUUUAUGUUCUGUAAAAUGAAAGAACAGUUAAAUAAAUCAUGACUCUAAGACAACUCCCGGGCUGUGUAUGGAAGUUCAGGGACAGAAUCAGUUGAGGCUGUUCCCCCGGAGCCUCAGCUUCCGCUGCUGUAUGUCGGGAAUCAGGGGGGGGCCAAGUGAGAUCACCGCAGUGUAGGCCAAUGUGCAGGGCACAGGCGGGCGCCAGGGAGGGGACGCUGCACAGCCUCAUGCUCUCGCCAAAAACGUGCAGAACAAUUUGGAAGAAAACAUUGCCAUCGGUUAAUAAAGAGCAACGGCCUCCGGUCAUAAGUG
rnacentral:lncRNA from 1 species